GGAUUCUGUGAUUCUAUGAAGUAGGCAAGAAGAAAUUGUGUACUGCAAAAAAGUAAUUUUAGGUUUUAUCAGAAAUUCACUCAGUUAAUCUUCCUGUAAUCACGGAUGUGGUUAAUUAUAUAUGGGAAAUGGUAUAAGUGGGAAACAUUUGUGAACGGGAAUGUGUAAAAUAUGCAUUAAGAUGCAGUUGCAGUUUGAGCUAUGCAUGAACUUGCCCUCACCCCUUGGUGGUGGUCGCUCUUACUCUGUGACUGCCCAUGCUCCCAGAGGCCUCCCUGGGCUUAUAUGUGCUGUAUGUCUGUGUGUUUCAGUGGCGUUGCAAUAGGAGAUGGCAGAGUUCCCAACCGAGAGCAUGCCAUGCCAGCAUGAGAAAAGGAUAGACUUCAUAUUCUCCUUUCCCUGGUGGUUUCCUUCAGAAGUAUGGCUAUUGCUGGCCCUGUGCUCAUUCCAGCUGAACAAUGUGAAUUUCUUGUUCAUUUCUUCGUUCCACCAGCAGGAAUUCUUGGUCAUUCCGGCAGUUUGUUUCUCUUUGCAGAAUAUGGUGUUCUCUUUGCUGGUAAUUCCUGUUAGGAACUCGUAGUUCUAGUUCAGUUUUAUCCAUGUUUUAUGCUUGAAUGGCUGCAAGUUUGGCUCCAAGUGUGGCUUUUCAGGAGAUCUGUAAUCAUUCUCUUUCAUCAGGCUGAGUGCUUGCUUCAAACUGCCAGAUUUCUUUUGGUUUUCCAUAGCUUUUAUUUUGUUGUAGUGUCAUAUGGGACACAAAUCCUUUAUCCUUUUCACCCCAGAUUUGGCUUAAUACCUUAAUUACAAAGUCAUUUAGUUGUCUCUUUUAGUAAAUGUGUCUCUAAUUGUCUCGUGCUAGUAGGCUGGUAUUUGCUAAGCUACUACAGUUUGUUUGGGGAUGAAAAUGACAUGCAAAAUAGAAAUAUCAGCAUCUCCACUCUAUAAUCUUGCCUUAAUUUUCUUGCUCAUCAAGUUGAUAUCAGUAAUUAAUGCUCCAAAAACUAACACUGCAUUUGUUGGUAUUGGUUCAUCCAGGAUCUUCUCAGCUAAUCACUGUAUUUUUAGUGCUGUUUAGUCCUAAUUUCCUUCCAGGUCCCUAGCCGUUUGGUGUGUGAAACUCUGUCUUUUCUGCAACUGGCAAUUCAAUAGCAGAGCUAAUCCAGUUUGAUUCAUAUCAUGAGGGUGCCACAGGAGCUGAGCAACAUCUGUUGAACCAUUGCUGCACAUUUGUGUCUUUUACUUUGGAGAAGAACCAAACGCAGAUGAGAUGGGAGGGGAGUUCUGAGACAUGAGGAAGAUGACUGUCCAGAGCAAGACAAGUUGAGAGAUCUUUGUUGUGGAUCUAAGCUGUUGUGGAGUAAUGUGACAGGGAUUAAAUGUCACAGAGAGAAAUGACUUGAGCUAUGCAGGCAGGAAGACAGUCACUGUAUUGGGAAACAGACAACAAAUGCAGGAUCAAUGCUGAAGACGGGAAAGCUAAAUUUCCAAACAUCUCCUCUGGGCCACAUUCAAAGACCUGAGCUGACUCCAACUGCUGAAUCCAUAGGGAGGUUUUCAACACAGCCUGAAGCACUUGGACAUUGGAGCUGGGCAAGAAGGGCGAGGGAGAGAAAUUCAAGCCCUCCCCGCUUCCCUUUGGUAAAUCAGGAGCACAUCCCUUACAGAUUUACUUGGCUGUGCCAAUUUAAUGUGAUUUCUUCUGAGGGCCAGGAACUACUCAAGGAAGGCUGACAGGUUUUAUCAACAGAAUGGAAACUGAAGUGAUAAGGUGAGAGUUACUGACCUGAUAACUAACAAACAGAAAACUUCAGUGUCCCUCAAGCUAAAUAUUGCACUCAGCAGGUAAGUAAAAGAUGGCAACAGCUGUGGUCUUGUCACUGAGAGAGUGUGGUUUAGUGUAGAGGAGCAGGAGGUGAACUGUGACAACAAACACAUUCAGUUUGCUACAGACUAUUUCCCUCUAUUACUUUUAAUGAGAGCUAAACUCCAAAAUGCACAAUGGGACAAUAAUAUUUUAGAUAGAAGGAACUCUUCGUACAGCUCCUAAAUUCUAGACACCCGGUUGCAAUUAAAAUCAUUGCUUGUGUAUUAUUAAUAGCUCACCAGUAGUUUAAGGCUGUUAUCAGGUAUGGGACCAAUUGGUGCUGGCCAGCACACAGCUGAAUGAAGAGUAGUGCUGUCCUUGAAGGAGCUGAGUUAACAACCUGAACCCACAGUGCUCAGAGGAGUUUGAAAAAUGAGAGAAACGUGGACAGGAGCUGUGUUGAAUGCAGCACUGUGGAAGCUGGCAAAGCAACAUGGCUGGGUUGCUGUAGUCAGAUGUUAGUGAAUGCUGCCUAAGUGGGGUUUCAUUUAGUUAAAUUCUGAAAUUGCAGUGUGGGAAGGGCAGAUUGGAAAGGAAGCAGAGACCUCUAAUAAACGCUGAUUUACAAGUAAUGGGCACAAAAAGUGCUGCAAGUACGGCAGUUUGUUGUUCUUGCUUUUUCCCCUUAUAUUUUUUCUUUUCCUGAGAACAUGCCGGGGUUGUGUAUGAAACCUAGUUGUCACAAGUCUCACACAUCCCUUGAAAUUCCUGUCUGACAGAAUAUGAAGGCUGCAGCAGCUGAACAAAAAGGCGCGCGACAGAGCUCUUGUAUGAUGUCCGUCUCCCCUUUCUGGCACCUGGCCUGUUCAGUACAAUUGGGAAAGACAAAUGGCAAGUGAUUGCUUCCUAUUCAACUUCUGCAAGCUAAUUUUGUUUUUCACAUGGCAGCAGUUUUGUACUCACCACGUUUGUCAUUCUGCCAUGUAUUUUUUCUUCUCCCCGUUGCAGUUCCUUUCCUGUUACAGUUCCUUUCCUUUAUAAGGUAAGGGCACCAGAACUACAUUUGGUAUUUGAGAAGCAGACGCACCAUGAAUUCAUAGAGUGGCAAAGUCAUGCUUUUCUCUCCUAAGAAUUCUGAACUUUUGCUUUUCUUUUUCUGCCUGCUGUUGAGCACCAAGGUGAUAUAUUCAUAGAACUAGCCAUUAGAAUGUCAGGAUGCAUUUGCUAAAUUGUGCAAACCAGUUCAGAGCCCAUCAUUCUGUGUGAAGUGAGUGUUGUUUUUUGUGUAUAGGUAGAUUAUAGCUGUCAGGGCUGAAAUUUAUCUCCUGCUUUAUCAUGAGGCUUACUCAAUGUCAUGAGAUCUUUAAGGUUUGGUAGUAAAUAUUAUCCUAAUUAAUUGAUGUUUUCUCAGAAAUCUUCACUGUUCCACCUACUUUCCAGGUCAUUUCUGACCACAGUGAACACCAUAGACCUUAAUCCCCAUGGGAGUCCACUGAUGAUCAUCCUCUACUGUGAAAACUCAUCCUACAGUCUAAUCUUUUUUCACCCAGUAUUAUUUAACUCUGUGAGGGCCUUACCUGUAGUCCCUGGCUUUUUAGUUUAUUAAAAAGCCUUUGAUGAGACCUUCAGUGCCUGAAGUUUCUGGAAGCUUGGUGUGAGCUGGAAAUGCAAGGGAAAUUUCUCAGCUGGAUCUCUGUUAUUUACAUGCUUUUGACUCCUUCAGAGAAUUCCAGCAGAUUUAGGAGGCUCAGAUUCCUUUCACAAAAGUCAUGUUUACUUAUCCUUAAUGUGUUACUUUUAUUCAUGUAUUCAGUCAUUCUGUUCUUUACUAGAGCUUCAGCCAAUACGACCGAUAUGGACAUUAGACUUAGUGGUCUGUGGGUUCUUGAAUCACCACUGGAUUUCUUUUUAAAAACUGAUUUGUUAUUAGUUACCUUCCAGCCCUUUGAUAAUCGCAGCAAUUUUCAGCAAAAGGUUACAUACUAAGGGGAUUAGCUCAGAUGAUUCAUAUUUAACAUUCUGUGAAGAUCUUGCAUGAAUCUCAGCCACUGAUAUGUUGUUAUUCAGUUUGUCUGGUUGUAAUCUACACUUAACAACCUUAAAUUAAGACAAGCCUGUUUUGAAUGUCUUAUAAACAGGGUCCUGGCCUCAGAGUUUCUCUGAGGUUCUCCAGGUGAAGAGAGAUGUAAAAAGAAGAGUUUGUAAUCUUUUGCGGUGGCAUUAUCUUUUCUGAGUGCUUCUCUCAUACGUGGCUCUUGCAAGCUUCAUGCUCCUGAUGUAUUCCAAGAAGGAUUUCUUGGACUUUUUUAUUUCUUUAGCAAAUAGCUUCUAAAUUCUUUCUUCAGUCUAUGUUAUUGUGCUUUUACAUUUAGUCUGCCAGGAUUUAUGUUCUUUUUAGUUUUCCUUUUUCAGACACCAGUUCAGCUUUUUGCAGAGUACGUUUUAACUUCCAACAGCCUCCCUGAUCCUGCUGUUUUGUGCUUUUUGUUUUUCUCUCAAGUCUUUUUUGACAGGUCAUAUGCAUUUGCUUUGAGCCUCCAAUAUAGGAUCCUAAAAUAGUCUACCUGCCAUCUGAAAAUGUUUUACCUUUCUGGCUGCCACUCUGAGUGUUGUUUUUGUUUUUUAUAAGAAAUUUCCCCAUUUUUGAAUUCCCAUUCUCUGGAAUCAAGCACAGCUGCUGCAUUUGCCAACAUUUCUUCAUUUCAGAAUAUGUAGUCAUGAAUCAGGUAAAAGGAUUAAGGGUUUGGGCCUAGCCCAGUCUCUAGGAAGCCUGGAGAUAUUUGUCAUUAACUUUUCACUUAUGUUAAUGUCACUAAUUUCAUUAACUGAGAAACAGGGAAGGAAAUGGCUUUGCCAGGGCUGGAGAUGAUGGGACUUCCUGCCCUGGAACAUCAGCUGCUUUCUCCAACCUACAACAGAGAAAAUGAUGGGUAAUUGGAAAAUAAAGCUGUCUGGGCUGAUUUGUGCCACUGCAGUUUGAUGCUGACUAGGUGGGGUGGUUCUGGAAGAGCCCAUCUACACUGUGCUGGUCGGAACCAGAGUGUGAAAGUAGAGUCACAGUGACAGUGUCCAGUUCCCACAUUAACACAUGCAGGAUUGAUCCAGUGUACCAAGAGAUCCAGCAGGACAGUGUGUGAAUGCAAGUAGCUCUUCCUGUGAUAAUGCCAGAGAAUCAAGAGCUUAGACUACUUCAUUAUUUCAGUCCGCAUAUAACAAAAUCUUGGAUAAGGUCUGACCAAAAAAGGACUAAGACCACAGUUAGUAGAGCCUGCUUUCGUAGCUGAAAGUACCUGUAAAGCCAGAAUGGACCAAAUGAUGCUGGCUACAGUGCAACUGCUGCCUAGCAUUGACUGCUUAGCAACAGGGAGAGUGAUAUGGAUGCAGAUGAAUUGAGUGUUUUCUGAGCAAGCUGGGUAGGAACAGAAGUAAUUAGCUGCUAGCUGAUGAAAAGCCAUGCUUAAUUAUUAGUAUAAUUAUAGAUAUAAUAGACCAGGAAUUAUUCAGUAAAAGUAAGAAAGCCAAUAUGUUACAAAAAGGUAAUCAGAAUGGGAGAGAAAAUGACAGUGGUGUGAAUUCUGGAGAAGAAAUGUAAUGGAUUAAGGUGAUAAAUCUGGAAUCUUUUGGGUUUCCACUCUGACAGAACCGAGUUUAACAAUGGUGUAGGGGUCUACAGAGCUAACAAGGUGUGUGGCUUGUAUUAUUUCUGGUUUUAUAUAAUGUUGAUUUAUCUGAUUGUAUGCGAGUGAAAUUGAGCUGUAUGUUCAUAAAUCUCCAAACCUGCACAGCUUCACAAAGAUCUUUGUUCUCCUUCUAGCAAUGCUGGAAGCACAACCAUUUAAUUUGAUGGAUUCUGUCAGAAGCUCAGCUUUAGCUGGUUCUGCUCAAUAUUGGUAAUUGAUUAUAAUUAUUUGAAAAGGCAGCAUUGCUUUCCCUUGGCACCCUGAGAAGUAGUUGUGACUAAGAAGCAGACAUGCUAGCCAGCUGCCCUGCCUGGCCAAUGCAUCUUAAACUGUUUUCAGUGCUGCUGGGGAGAUGGCUGGAGAUAACAGGCUGAACUGUUCUAACAGAGAUGUUAGUAAGAUGAUGGAUAAUCACUGAAAUGAAUAAUCUGGGGAAGGUUUUAAGUACGUCUCUUCCAAUGUCAGAAUGGAUGUAGAUAGUUCUGGUCCUGCUUUUGUGCCAGGGCUUGGACCGGGUGCUAACAGCAGCAGCAGUGAUCUGACAUCUUCUAUAUGGAUCUGGAAUGGAGAGGUCCAAGAUACAUACAAUUUUGUCUAAAAUUGUAGUGGUUUCUAUGGCAGUGGAAUGGGUGACUCUGGCACCAACAGCUCUAAUCUAGACUCUUGAGUCUGAGAGUGGUGGUGCCAAAUGAUUACAACCCCUUUUGCCCACUGCACUGGUUGGAAAAGAAAAUCAAGAUACAAAGAUUUUACUGAAUUACUGUUUGAGGACUAAUUAUUAAAAUGGUUUUUGAUUAAUGAGUUGUGAGUGAAGCUAGUUUGGCAAAUAGCAUUUUGAUAAGGUAUUUGCAAGACAGAUAGUCUUAAGAUGGUACGAUGAACGUAAAACACUCUAACCUUAAUGAUGAAGUUAAUGCAGAAAUGAUGUAAAUGUGCAUGAGUAAUUACUGUAUGAAGUCACUGGGGUACAUCAGGACAAAUUGAGUACAGACAAACUCUAAUCAGCACAGAAUCAUUGCAAAGUGAAGCUGGAAGCAAUCUCAGGUAAUCAGUUGUUCCAUCUCCUUCUUCCAUAACAGAAUCAGAUCUGCUCAUGACAUUCUUGGCUUCUUUCUCUUCCAUUUUUGUUGCAGACUUUUAUCUGCUCCAAGACUGUUACUGCACCUGACUCUGUCAGGCCUGCUAUUGCAUCUCUCCAUGGUCUUCUCUUUUGAGCAUCUCUUGUUCUAAGUCUCUUGAUUCAGGACAUGUUUUCCAGACCUCUAACUGUUACCGGUUUUCUUGCUGCUUAGUCUUUCAGCCUUUCUUGAGGAGUGGUACCAAGGACCGGAUGUUCCUCUACACUGAGGCGUUACAAAUACUGAGUACAGCAAAAGGACAGGCAAGAUGUCUUGCAGUGAACCAGUGGAAACUACUCUCAGAGUGUGGAUUCCAGCCUGAUUUGUGUCAUGACUUCAGCCAGGGCAUUCUUGCACUCAUCAAUGUUGUGUGGGCCUCAGUGACAUUGAGAUUAGAAGCUCUGGCCUCAGCCUGCUCUGGGUGUGUGCUGUGAGAGCCAUGUGGGCAAUGAAGACAGUAGCUGAAGCAAUUACUGAAGCAUUAGUGACUACCCUGGAAGCUCUCAGAAGGCAGCAGGAUGGAGCCAGCAGUGCUGUGGUUGAGGGGAAGCAAAGGACACAGCUGAGGACUGGAGGCAGCAGCCACAUCCUGGAGCAGUUUGUUGCUGUGAUUGUGCCAGGGCUGCUGUGCCUCUGGAGCUGGAGGAAGAGUACAGAGAUGAUGCUGUUUUGCUGCAGUAAAACAUCAGAAGUCCCUGGUGAGCAGCGCAGCCUUGAUGCUAUGGGGACCAAGGGAAGAUGCGUGCAUGGGAG